rnacentral:rRNA from 1 species
CGGGGCGUCAUAGAGGGUGAGAAUCCCGUAUGUGACCGGCGAUCAAGCCCGUGUGAAACUCCUUCGACGAGUCGAGUUGUUUGGGAAUGCAGCUCCAAAUGGGUGGUAAAUUUCAUCUAAAGCUAAAUACCGGCCAGAGACCGAUAGCGCACAAGUAGAGUGAUCGAAAGAUGAAAAGCACUUUGGAAAGAGAGUCAAACAGUACGUGAAAUUGUUGAAAGGGAAGCGCUUGCGACCAGACCUGCUUCCGGGCGAUCAGCCGUCCUUCUGGGCGGUGCACUCGCCCGUAGACAGGCCAGCAUCGGUUUCGGCGGCCGGAUAAAGACCCUGGGAAUGUAGCUCCCUUCGGGGAGUGUUAUAGCCCUCGGUGUAAUGCGGCCCGCCGGGACCGGGGACCGCGCUUCGGCUAGGAUGCUGGCGUAAUGGUCGUAAGCGGCCCGUCUUGAAACACGGACCAAGGAGUCUAACAUCUAUGCGAGUGUUUGGGCGUGAAACCCAUGCGCGUAAUGAAAGUGAACGGAGGUGGGAACCCGCCCGGGCGCACCAUCGACCGAUCCAGAUGUCUUCGGAUGGAUUUGAGUACGAGCAUAGCUGUUGGGACCCGAAAGAUGGUGAACUAUGCCUGAAUAGGGUGAAGCCAGAGGAAACUCUGGUGGAGGCCCGCAGCGGUUCUGACGUGCAAAUCGAUCGUCAAAUUUGGGUAUA